GUACAGGUUUCCGUAGGUGAACCUGCGGAAGGAUCAUUAUUGAUUGGUCGAAAGACCUUAUCAGAUUUUACCACCUCUGUGAACCGUUGACCUCCGGGUUAAUAAUCAAACAUCAGUGUAACGAACGUAAGAGUAUCUUAAUUAAACAAAACUUUUAACAACGGAUCUCUUGGCUCUCGCAUCGAUGAAGAACGCAGCGAAAUGCGAUAAGUAAUGUGAAUUGCAGAAUUCAGUGAAUCAUCGAAUCUUUGAACGCACCUUGCGCCUUUUGGUAUUCCGAAAGGCAUGCCUGUUUCAGUGUCAUGAAAUCUCAAUCUAAUAUGUUUUCUGAACAUGUUAGCUUGGACUUGGGUGUCUGCCAGCAAUGGCUCACCUCAAAUGACUUAGUGGAACAUCCCACAUCAGUGUUAGACGUAAUAAGUUUCGUCUCUCCUUGUGGUGAUGACUGCUCAAAACCUGCCAUCGCGCACCUUUUGACUUUGACCUGAAAUCAGGUAGGGCUACCCGCUGAACUUAAGCA
rnacentral:rRNA from 1 species